AAAUAAUAUUUACUCCGAGUCCACUGUCCUGUAGCACAUGUGUCUUACAACAGCACCUGGCAUGGCGGUCGGACCGACAGGGUGUACCUGGAAACAGGUGCACCUCCCAGUGCGGAAAGGAGAUUACGGCGGAGUUUG
rnacentral:ncRNA from 1 species